CGAUCUCAAAUCAAGUAAGACUACCCGCUGAACUAAGCAU
rnacentral:rRNA from 1 species